GUCUAAAAUGACUCUCGGCAACGGAUAUCUCGGCUCUUGCAUCGAUGAAGAACGUAGCGAAAUGCGAUACUUGGUGUGAAUUGCAGAAUCCCGUGAACCAUCGAGUCUUUGAACGCAAGUUGCGCCCGAAGCCAUUAGGCCGAGGGCACGCCNGCCUGGGUGUCACUAA
rnacentral:rRNA from 1 species